UACGUAGGGUGCGAGCGUUAAUCGGAAUUACUGGGCGUAAAGGGCUCGUAGGCGGCCAACUAAGUCAGACGUGAAAUCCCUCGGCUUAACCGGGGAACUGCAUCUGAUACUGGAUGGCUUGAGUUCGGGAGAGGGAUGCGGAAUUCCAGGUGUAGCGGUGAAAUGCGCAGAUAUCAGGAGGAACACCGGUGGCGAAGGCGGGUCUCUGGGCCGUAACUGACGCUGAGGAGCGAAAGCAUGGGGAGCGAACAGG
rnacentral:rRNA from 1 species